rnacentral:rRNA from 1 species
UCAGUGUGUGUGUUAGUGGAAGCGUCUGGAAAGGCGCGCGAUACAGGGUGACAGCCCCGUACACAAAAAUGCACAUGCUGUGAGCUCGAUGAGUAGGGCGGGACACGUGGUAUCCUGUCUGAAUAUGGGGGGACCAUCCUCCAAGGCUAAAUACUCCUGACUGACCGAUAGUGAACCAGUACCGUGAGGGAAAGGCGAAAAGAACCCCGGCGAGGGGAGUGAAAAAGAACCUGAAACCGUGUACGUACAAGCAGUGGGAGCACGCUUAGGCGUGUGACUGCGUACCUUUUGUAUAAUGGGUCAGCGACUUAUAUUCUGUAGCAAGGUUAACCGAAUAGGGGAGCCGAAGGGAAACCGAGUCUUAACUGGGCGUUAAGUUGCAGGGUAUAGACCCGAAACCCGGUGAUCUAGCCAUGGGCAGGUUGAAGGUUGGGUAACACUAACUGGAGGACCGAACCGACUAAUGUUGAAAAAUUAGCGGAUGACUUGUGGCUGGGGGUGAAAGGCCAAUCAAACCGGGAGAUAGCUGGUUCUCCCCGAAAGCUAUUUAGGUAGCGCCUCGUGAAUUCAUCUCCGGGGGUAGAGCACUGUUUCGGCAAGGGGGUCAUCCCGACUUACCAACCCGAUGCAAACUGCGAAUACCGGAGAAUGUUAUCACGGGAGACACACGGCGGGUGCUAACGUCCGUCGUGAAGAGGGAAACAACCCAGACCGCCAGCUAAGGUCCCAAAGUCAUGGUUAAGUGGGAAACGAUGUGGGAAGGCCCAGACAGCCAGGAUGUUGGCUUAGAAGCAGCCAUCAUUUAAAGAAAGCGUAAUAGCUCACUGGUCGAGUCGGCCUGCGCGGAAGAUGUAACGGGGCUAAACCAUGCACCGAAGCUGCGGCAGCGACGCUUAUGCGUUGUUGGGUAGGGGAGCGUUCUGUAAGCCUGCGAAGGUGUGCUGUGAGGCAUGCUGGAGGUAUCAGAAGUGCGAAUGCUGACAUAAGUAACGAUAAAGCGGGUGAAAAGCCCGCUCGCCGGAAGACCAAGGGUUCCUGUCCAACGUUAAUCGGGGCAGGGUGAGUCGACCCCUAAGGCGAGGCCGAAAGGCGUAGUCGAUGGGAAACAGGUUAAUAUUCCUGUACUUGGUGUUACUGCGAAGGGGGGACGGAGAAGGCUAUGUUGGCCGGGCGACGGUUGUCCCGGUUUAAGCGUGUAGGCUGGU